CUGUCUAAUGUUUUAUAGGGAAGAACAGCUGCCAGCAGAUGGCAGCAGAAAGGAAAAUUAGGCACAUAAUAUAAGACAUAGUGGACAAAAGAACUCAGAUUUCUAACAGCCUAGUUUCACUAGCUGUUAUUGACUAUGCAAGCUAAAGUUCUGUAAAAAAAAUUUAAACAGGAUUGAGGCACAGAAGAAAAUUUCCACAUGUCCCUCCAUACCCUUACACCCAAUAAAAAUGAAAGAUGAUGACCUGAAAUGCACAUCUGUAACUGUUAUGUCUAUACAGGCUCUGGUAACAAGCUGGUUUUGGACUUUGCUAGAACGGCCUGCCAUGAACUGCAUCAAGCUAGUGUGGCACCAAAUGAAAAAUAAUAUUAGGACAAUUGUCAACUCAGGCAUUGAACCAAGGAAGAACUGCUAAUCAUAGCUGCACAUUUGCUGGGAAAAAGUGUUGACAAUCAAACAGAGUAACCAACCCUAUUAAGUGACUUUGCAGAGCCCCAUGGCAUGAAAGAUGUUAUAGAGGGAUGAAAUUUUUGUGCAUAGAAUGUACAUGUAGGUAUGCAUGUACAAGUUUUAAUAAAUUAUAUCCUUUGCUAUCGCUGAACUGGCUUGUAUGUAUGUUCACCUCAUAAUCCGUUUACAAUAAAGAGAGUCCUAAGAGCCUUUA